CUACGGAGGGUGCAAGCGUUGUUCGGAUUUAUUGGGCGUAAAGCGAGUGUAGGCGGUUUGACAAGUCGAAUGUGAAAUCCCGAGGCCCAACCUCGGAACUGCAUCCGAAACUGUCAGGCUAGAGUCCCGGAGAGGAUGGCGGAAUUCCCGGUGUAGGGGUGAAAUCCGUAGAUAUCGGGAGGAACACCAGUGGCGAAGGCGGCCAUCUGGACGGUGACUGACGCUGAGACUCGAAAGUGUGGGUAGCAAACAGGAUUAGAUACCCCAGUAGUCC
rnacentral:rRNA from 1 species